CCAUUUCUGGCUUCAUGGUUAGAGCGUUGGAUUUCUGCUCCACAGGUUGUGGGUUCGAUCCUCAGGUAGUGCA
rnacentral:tRNA from 1 species